rnacentral:rRNA from 1 species
GUGGGGAAUAUUGCGCAAUGGGGGAAACCCUGACGCAGCGACGCCGCGUGAGCGAUGAAGGCCUUAGGGUUGUAAAGCUCUGUUUUAAGGGACGAAUGUUACGGGGAGUAAUAUGCCCUGUAAAUGACGGUACCUUAAGAGGGAGCCCCGGCUAACUACGUGCCAGCAGCCGCGGUAAGACGUAGGGGGCGAGCGUUGUCCGGAAUUACUGGGCGUAAAGAGCACGUAGGCGGGACUUUAAGUCAGGUGUGAAAAACCGGGGCUCAACCUCGGGGUGGCACUUGAAACUGGGGUUCUUGAGGGCAGGAGAGGAAAGUAGAAUUCCUGGUGUAGCGGUGAAAUGCGUAGAAAUCAGGAGGAAUACCAGUGGCGAAGGCGACUUUCUGGACUGACCCUGACGCUGAGGUGCGAAAGCGUGGGUAGCAAACAG